UCUUGCUCUUAUGGUCCUAAACUGCCCUCCUGCAUGCUGGCCCAAGUGACAGGCAGUCUGGUGUUCAGAUAGUGAUCUUGAGUACUUCUUGUGGCAUUCCAAGCCUGUCAUUUAAAUCAAGAUAUGGAACUUGGCUUCAUGUAUUUGGAACAUUCUCCAUUUUCGAAGAAUCGAGGAGUUGCUCAGUCAAAUUGGAAGACGGUGAGUGGAGGAGAAACAUCUGGGUCAUUUGACACAUGCAAAAGCUCACAUAGCAGUGGGAGUAAGUGGAAGAAGACCAAGGACAGAGAUCAUCAAACUUGCACAGUCCAAGAGCAAGGCAAAUAAAAUACACUGUGUCAGUGAGUCACAAAUCAGUGGCUUGGUUAGAUUUUCUUUCUUCAGUUCCCUCCACACCAUAAUAUGAACUACAAUAUUCCCUGUUUCCAGACUCCUAUCCCAGUACCCCGUCUCCUCUCUUCCGCAUCCCAUACCAAAUGCGCAGCUUAGCAGAAGCUGAGAGCAGCUGUCUUGCAGAAAGCCAAGCUGAUCAACACCAUCUUGCAGUUGGGGAGGCAGCAGCCUCAUCCUUCAGCUGAAUUCAGAGUCCCUUUUUCUUGUUUUGUUGUUGUGUUCUCAUUAUGUGUGCUUAUAUUUGAAGAUCUGUAUUUUCUAGGGAAAAAACGGAGUGUGCACAGUCCGGGAGGCACGUAGAGGGGAUAUUGGGUGAUAAUUGCUGUGAGUGCUUUACAGUGAGAUAUGUGUAUCAUUGUGUUUUAG
rnacentral:lncRNA from 1 species